GUGUCAGCAGCCGCGGUAAGACGAACCAUGCGAACGUUAUUCGGAAUGACUGGGCUUAAAGCGUGCGUAGGCGGUUCCGAAAGUUGGGUGUGAAAUCCCCCGGCUCAACCGGGGAAUUGCGCCCAAAACUACGGGGCUCGAGGGAGAUAGAGGUGGGCGGAACUUAGGGUGGAGCGGUGAAAUGCGUUGAUAUCCUAAGGAACACCAGAGGCGAAAGCGGCCCACUGGAUCUUUUCUGACGCUGAGGCACGAAAGCUAGGGGAGCGAACGGGAUUAGAUACCCUGGUAGUCC
rnacentral:rRNA from 1 species